GCCUACGGGGCGCAGCAGUGAGGAAUAUUGGUCAAUGGGCGGAAGCCUGAACCAGCCAAGUCGCGUGAGGGAAUAAGGCCCUACGGGUCGUAAACCUCUUUUGCCGGGGAGCAAGGGCCGGGACGAGUCCCGGUCCGGAGAGUACCCGGAGAAAAAGCAUCGGCUAACUCCGUGCCAGCAGCCGCGGUAAUACGUAGGUGGCAAGCGUUAUCCGGAUUUAUUGGGCGUAAAGGGAACGCAGGCGGUCUUUUAAGUCUGAUGUGAAAGCCUUCGGCUUAACCGGAGUAGUGCAUUGGAAACUGGGG
rnacentral:rRNA from 1 species